rnacentral:rRNA from 1 species
GACGAACGCUGGCGGCGUGCUUAACACAUGCAAGUCGAACGAAGUGGCGAACGGGUGAGUAACGCGUAAUCAACCUGCCAUUCAGAGGGGGACAACAGCUGGAAACGACUGCUAAUACCGCAUACUGACGGAGGGGCUUGCGUCGGAUUAGCUAGUUGGAGGGGUCACGGCCCACCAAGGCGAUGAUCGGGAGCCGGGCGGAGAAGAGGAACGGCCCAAAUGGGACCUAGACAAGGCCCAGACUCCUACGGGAGGCAGCAGUGGGGAAACUUCCGCAAUGGACGAAAGUCUGACUGAGCAACGCCGCGUGAGUGAAGAAGGUUUUCGGAUCGUAAAGCUCUGUUGUGAAGGAAGCGGUACUUAAAGAGAAAGGGACGGCUAACUACGUGCCAGCAGCCGCGGUAAUAC